rnacentral:tRNA from 7 species
GGGCGAUUGGCGCAGUGGUAGCGCGCUUCCCUGACACGGAAGAGGUCGCUGGUUCGAACCCAGUAUCGCCCA